UGAUGUUUUCCAAGAGAGAGUUGAACGGAUCAGCCGCCGAAGAGGCAAGCCGGACAUACAUGGUGGGUAUGCAAAAAGGUGAAACUUUCAGGCAAAAGGACUGGAAAAUGUAC
rfam:Dorea sp. CAG:105 genomic scaffold, scf156